rnacentral:lncRNA from 10 species
GUGCUAUCCUACUGAAGACAGGUAGAGGAGAGGAACAGAGGACCCCAAACAAGUCCCUGUUCAGCCUGGACACCUGGGAAAGGGAGGAGUGUGGAAGAGGGAAGGAAGUUAGCUGGGGGACAGUGAACACCAAUGUAUGUGCAGAUUCAAUCAGCAGCGAUCUGUGAGUCAGAGGCUCUCAACAUGCUCCAAAGCAAAGCUGGGUAAACACUGCCACUUUUUGUUUGCGUUGAGUUAGCUGCCUGCAAGCAUAUUAGGAAACCCUGACAAAGAGCAUUCUAAAUGCAUGUGGUGCCUUUGAGUUUAUUUGUCUCAAUUUAUUCCAGUUACAUUUGAGCAUGACAUGAUUAUACAUCUCACACUGACUGAAGACUGUGGGCCUGCGUGGCAGGCAGGGGAAGAAGGGGGGAGGAAGAGGGUUUCCUAGCGCCAUCUAAUUUAAAGCACCUUUAGCUGAGUGGUGCAGUGAAAAGGAUGUGGCUAAAACAAAUAAAAAUCAUAGCAGGAUCAAAGUACACACACAAAUUUAUUCCUUCUGGAAGCAGCUUCUCUUUCCCUUUCCCCCUCUCUCCUUCCCUUGUUUUCCCCUCCUUUGAGUCCCAGCGAUUCUUUCAUGGCAGAACUCCAGGAUGGCCUCGUCUCCUUGCAGCACAAUCACAGUUUCAUCUCUGAUUGAUGGGGCGAAGGCACCGGCACCGCGGGUUUGAAGGAGAUCUAAGGGCCUUCCUAAUUUCAUGGUGGGCAUGUGAAGUGUCACAUUAAUCAGCGCUCUUUAUGAGCAGUUCAAAGAGUCAUAGAUGUUGGGAAGGUGGCUGUUUGAAGCACAGAGCCAAGGGAUUUCAGGAUUUUAUCAACAACCUGGGGGUUCCACCUCCUCUCCCCAGUGCACCUCUUGCCUGACUGCUGGGUGGAAUUUUACAUGAGAAUCAUACGGAGCUAAAGGAACCUACGAUACCAUCCAGUUCCAACCCAUACUUUACAUAGGAAUCAGCAGAGGCUGGGAGUCUCUCUUGGGGUCACACAGAAAGCCAUCUAGUCUGGAAGCAGUGGGUUAUUCAAGCCUCCUGGUUGCGUGUGACAACUCAAAUGAGGUUAAGCACUGAUAUAGUUUGGCUCUGUGUCCCCAACCAAAUCUCAUGUCGAAUUGUAAUUCCCAGUGUUGGGGAAGUGGGCUGGUUGGAGGUGAUUGGAUCAUGGGGGCAGAUUUCCCCCUUGCAUUCUUGUGAUGGUGAAUGAGUUCUCAGGAGACCUGGUUGUUUGAAAGUGUGUGGCACCUCCCUCUUUGCUCUCUUCCUCCUUCUCCAGACACAUGAAGACGUGCCCGCUUCCCCUUUGCUUUCUGCCAUGAUUGUAAGUUUCCUGAGGCGUCCCCAGCCCUGCAGAACUGUGAGUAAUUUAAACCUCUUUCCUUUAUAAAUUACCCAGUCUCAGGCAGUUCUUCAUAGCAGCAUGAGAAUGGAAUAAAACAGUAAAUUGAUACUGGGUAGUGGGGCGCUGCUAUAAAGAUACUAAAAAACGUGGAAGUGACUUUGGAACUGGGUAACAGGCAGAGGUUGGAACAGUUUGGAGGGCUCAGAAGAAGACAGGAAGAUGUCUUCCAGGAAAGUUGGAACUUCCUAGAGACUUGUUUAAUGGUUUUGACCAAAAUGCUGAUAGUGAUGUGGACAAUGAAGUCCUGGCUGAGGUGGUCUCAGAUGGAGAUGAAGAACUUUUUGGGAACUGGAAUAAAGGUGACUCUUGCUACAUUUUAGCAAAGAGACUGGCAGUAUUUUGCCCUUGCCCUAAAGAUCUGUGGAAUUUUGAACUUGAGAGAGAUGAUUUAGGGUAUCUGGCAGAAGAAAUUUCUGAGCAGCAAAGCAUUCAAGAGGUGACUUGGGUGCUGUUAAAAGCAUUCAGUUUUAUGUACUCACAAAUAUAUGGUUUGGAAUUAAAACUUAUGUUUAAAAGGGAACCAGAACAUAAAACUUAGGAAAAUUUGCAGCCUGAUGAUGCGAUAGAAAAGAAAAACCCAUUUUUGGAGAAGAAAUUCAAGCCAGCUAGAUAAAUUUGCAUCAGUAACGAAAAGCCAAAUGUUAAUCACCAAGACAAUGGGGAAACUGUCUCCAGGGCAUGUCAGAGUUCUUCACAGCAGUCCCUCCCAUCACAGGCCCAGAGGCCUAGGAGGAAAAAAGGGUUUCACGGGCUAGGCCUAGGGCCUUGCUGCUUUGUGUAGUAUAGGGAUUUGGUGAUAGUGAGUUCCAGCUGUGGCUCAAGGGGCCAACAUAGAGCUCAGGCUGUUGCUUCAGAGGGUGCAAGCCCCAAGCCUUGGUGGCUUACACGUGGUCUUGGACCUGUGGGUGUACAGGAGUCAAGAAUUGAGGUUUGGGAACCUCAGCUUAGAUUUCAGAGGAUGUAUGGAAAUACCUGGAUGUACAGGCAGAAGUCUGCUGUAGGGGCAAAGCCCUCAUGGAGAACCUCUGCUAGGGCAUUGAAGAAGGGAGAUGUGGGAUUGGAGCCCCCACAGGGAGUCCCCAUGGGGGUGCUGCCCGGUUGAACUGUGAGAGGAGGGCCACCGUCCUUCAGACCCCAGAAUGGUAGAUCCGCUGACAGCUUGCACUGUGCACCUGGAAAUGCCUCAGACACUCAAUGCCAUCUUGUGAAAGCAAAGCCACAGGGGUGAAGCAGUCCAAGGCCAUGGGAGCCCACCUCUUGCAUCAGCGUGACCUGAUGUGAGACAUGGAGUUGAAGGAGAUUAUUCUGGAACUUUAAGGUUUGGUUACUGCCCUGUUGGAUUUUGGACUUGGGUGGGGCCUGGAGCCUCUUUGUUUUGGCCAAUUUCUCUCAUUUGGAAUGGGUGUAUUUGUCCAAUGCCUGUAUCUCCAUUGUAUCUUGGAAGUAAUUAACUCACUUUUGAUUUUACAGGCUCAUAGGCGAAGGAAUUUGCCUUGUCUCAGAUGAGACUUUAGAUUUGGACUUUGGGGAUAAUGAUGGAAUGAAUUAAGACUUUGGGGGACUGUUGGAAGUACAUAAUUGUGUUUUGAAAUGUGAGGACAUAUUUUAAAGGGACCAUGAAUGGAAUAACAUGUUUUGGCUGUGUCCCACCCAAAUCUCAUCUUGAAUUGUAGUUCUCAUAAUCCCCAUGUGUCAUGGGAGGGACCUGGUGGGAGGUAAUUAAAUCAUGGGGGUGUUUAUUAGUCUGAUCUCACACUGCUAUAAAGAACUGCCCAAGACUGGGUAAUUUAUAAAGAAAGAAGGUUUAAAUGACUCAUAGUUCUGUGGGGCUGAGGAGGCCUCAAACAACUUACAAUCAAAGUGGAAGGAAGUAAACACAUCCUUCUUUACAGGAUGGCAGGAAGGAGAAGUGCCAAGUAAAUGGGGGAAAAGCUCCUUAUAAAACCAUCAGAUCUGAAAACUCACUCACUGUCAUGAAAACAGCAUGGAGGUAACUCCCUCCAUGAUUCAGUUACCUCCCACAGGGUCCCUUCUAUGACAUGUGGGGAUUAUGGGAGCUACAAUUCAAGAUGAGAUUUGGGUGGGGACAUGACCAAACCAUAUCACUGCACCUCAGGGAUGAUCCAAGACACCUCCUGGUACAGUGCUCACACCUCAGGGAUGACCCAAGACAUCUCCUAGUGUAGUGGUCCUACCUCAGGGAUGAUUCAAGACACCUUGUGGUGCAGUGCUCACACUUCAGAAAUGAUCCAAGAAACCUCCUGGUGUAGUGAUCCUACCUCAGGGAUGAUCCAAGACAUCUCCUGGUGCAGUGCUCACACCUCAGGGAUGAUUGAAGACACCUCCUGGUGCAGUGCUCCCACCUCAGGGAUGAUCCAAGACACCUCCUUGUGCAGUGCUCACAAUUCAGGGCUGAUCCAAGACACCUCCUGAUACAGUGCUCACAACUCAGGCAUAAUCCAAGACACCCCCUGGCACAGUACUCCCUUCUUAGGGAUGAGCCAAGACAACUGCUUGUGCAGUGCUCACACCUUAGGCAGAAUCCAAGACACUUGCUGGUGCAGUGUUCUGACCUCAAGGAUGAUAAAAUACACUUCCUGGUGCAGUGCUGACAAUUCAGGCAUCAUCCAAGAGACCUUCUGGUGCGGUGCCUACAUGUCAGGUUUGAUCCAAACAUCUCCUGGUGUAGUGCUCUGACCUCGGGGAUGAUACAAGAUACCUCCUGGUGCAGUACUCACACCUCAGGAAUGAUCCAAGACAACUCCUGGUGCAGUGCUUCCACCUCAGGGAUGAUCCAAGACACCUCGUGGUGUGGUACUCCCACCUCAAAGAUGAUCCAAGACUCCUCUUGGGGUAGUGCUCCCACCUAGGGAUGAUCCAAAACACCUCCUAGUGCAGUGCAUACAUCUCAGGCAUGAUCAAAGACACCUCCUGGUGCAGUGCUCAAGCCUUAGGGAUGAUUCGUGAUGCCUUUUGAUGUAGUGUUCACACUUCAGGGAUGAUCCAAUACACCUUCUGGUGCAGUGCUCCCUCCACAGGGAUGAUACAGGACACCUCCUGGUACAAUGGUCACACCUCAGAAGUUAUUCAAGACAGCUCCUGGUGCAGUGCUCACACCUCAGAGAUGAAUCAAGACACCUGGUGCAGUGCUCACACCUCAGGGAUGAAUCAAGACACCUCCUGGUGUAGUGCUCACACCUCAGGGCUGAUUCAAGACACCUGGUGCAGCACCUGCACCUCAGAAAUGAUUCAAGAUACCUCCUGGUACAGUGCCUGCACCUCAGGGAUGAUCUGAGACAUCUCCUGAUGCAAUGUUCACACCCCAAGGAUGAUCCAAGACACCUACUGGUGCAGUGCUCACACCUCAGCGAUGAUUCACAACACCUCCUGGUGCAGUGCUUACACUUCAGCGACGAUCCAAGACACCUCAUGAUGCAGUGCCUGCACCUCAGAAAUGAUCCAAGACACCUCCUGGUGUAGUGCUCCCUCCUCAGGGAUGAUCCAAGACACCCCUCGUGUAGCGCUCCCACCUAAAGGACGAUCUGAGACAUCUGCUGGUGCAUUGCUUGCACCUCAGGAAUGAUCCAAGACACCUCCUGGUGCAGUGCCUGCAUCUCAGGGAUGAUCCGAGGCACCCUUAGGUGCAGUGCUCACACCUCUAGUAUGAUGCGUGGAAUCUCACAAGCACCUAGUGAUAAGAAAAGGAUCAUUUACUAAAGGAACUUGUGAGGCUGGCCUCAGAACUAUCUGAACAUUGUGUUAGGCCAGUAUUUGUAAUUCUUCAGGUGAAGAGUCUGUGAACCCAAGAUUUUCUCUUAGCCAAAGUUCCUGCUUGUAUAAGGCAGCAGAAGACAAUAUCUCAUGUAGGAGAACUUGUUUCCUGUGUAUGCACUUUCUCAAUUAAACAAUGUAAUCAACAGCAACAGCUAUUACUACUACAUGAAGAAUUAUUUCAGCCAACCAAAAGAUGAAUCCAAAUCAUAAACUAAACAUGGAUUGGACAAAGAAAGGGUGGAUGGUGAGCAGGGAAUUCGUUUAAAUGUGAAAUUAAGUCCAAAUAAUAGUCUUGAGUCUGGACACACAUCAGAACAUAAACGUUUCCCUGAUCACUAAUCUAAUCAGGUUUCCAUGUGGCUGAUGGAGAUUGUAAAGUGCCACCAAUGAUAAGGUAAGUGUCACUCUCUAAGAAGCUGAAAAGUUUUAUAUUGCAAUCUGAAUGUUUGUGACCCCCCAGCCCCUAUAAAUUCAUAUAUCGAAAUUCUAACCCUUAAGGUGAUACUAUUAGGACAUGGGGCCUCUGGGAGGUGAGUAGCUCAUGAGGAUGGUGCCUUCAUAAAUGGGCUUAGUGCCCUUCUAAAAGGGGCCCCAAAGAGCUUAUUGGUCCCUUCCACCAUGUGAGGACACAGGAAGAAAGCACUGUUUAUGAGCCGGAAAAAUGGCCCUCACCACACAAUGAGUCUGCCUUGAUCUUGGCCUUUCAGGCUCCAGAACUGUGAGAAACAAAUUUUUAUUAUUUACAGGCUACUUAGUUCAUAGCGUUUUGUUAUAGCAGCU